rnacentral:rRNA from 1 species
GACGAACGCUGGCGGCGUGCCUAAUACAUGCAAGUAGAACGCUGAAGAGAGGAGCUUGCUCUUCUUGGAUGAGUUGCGAACGGGUGAGUAACGCGUAGGUAACCUGCCUUGUAGCGGGGGAUAACUAUUGGAAACGAUAGCUAAUACCGCAUAACAAUGGAUGACACAUGUCAUUUAUUUGAAAGGGGCAAUUGCUCCACUACAAGAUGGACCUGCGUUGUAUUAGCUAGUAGGUGAGGUAAUGGCUCACCUAGGCGACGAUACAUAGCCGACCUGAGAGGGUGAUCGGCCACCCUGGGACUGAGACACGGCCCAGACUCCUACGGGAGGCAGCAGUAGGGAAGCUUCGGCAAUGGGGGCAACCCUGACCGAGCAACGCCGCGUGAGGGAAGAAGGUUGUCGGAUCGUAAAGCUCUGUUGUAAGUCAAGAACGGGUGUGAGAGUGGAAAGUUCACACUGUGACGGUAGCUUACCAGAAAGGAACGGCUAACUACGUG